GGCCCCAUCGUCUAGUGGCCCAGGACAUCAGGUUCUCAUCCUGAAAACACCGGUUCAACUCCGGUUGGGGCUG
rnacentral:tRNA from 1 species